UACGGAGGGUGCAAGCGUUAAUCGGAAUUACUGGGCGUAAAGCGUGCGCAGGCGGUUUGUUAAGUCUGCUGUGAAAUCCCCGAGCUCAACUUGGGAAUUGCAGUAGAUACUGGCAGGCUGGAGUAUGGUAGAGGAAGGUGGAAUUCCCGGUGUAGCAGUGAAAUGCGUAGAGAUCGGGAGGAACACCAGUGGCGAAGGCGGCCUUCUGGACCAAUACUGACGCUCAUGCACGAAAGCGUGGGGAGCAAACAGG
rnacentral:rRNA from 1 species